UUUUGGAAAAAUCCAAUGAUGCACCCUUGAAGUACAUGUCAAAUGGAGUUUGUGCAUAUAAAGAACUUGCAAUUUGGACCAAGCAUGUGGUAGUUAUGGCCUCCUGAUUACGGGUAUUUUCUGAAAUUCACUGAGCCAUAUUUUGCAAACCACACAUUGGAUUUUUGAGUUCUUGGACUUUUUGGAAAGGUGCGAACAAGAUCUUCAACUUUCAUGUUGGACAAAAUUCCAUUUGAAGCUUGUAUGAUGAAAUUAUCUUGAGGAGAAAAAGUUUCCAUUUUGGGCAGCUGAGAUUACAG
rnacentral:lncRNA from 1 species